CGUGAAAUUUCAAUUUUUUUGCUUGGGACUAUAUAAUAAACAGAACAUUACACCAUGGCUUCAAGAUAUGACUGUUAUCUUCUCGUGUUAUAUUGUUUUCACCACUCGAAGAUAAAAGUCAUAUCUUCGCGCCGCCGUGUAAUAUCCUCUAUAUAUCAGCUAAUAUUGGGCCUAAAAUAUAUAAAGAAGAACCAAUAGAGACACCGUCUUUCUCCUCGUAGGAUGUUUAAUGCAGUUGUGUUAAUUCAUAUUUAUUCUCUUUCUUUUAUCCUGUUGUUCCUUUGUCGUUAUAAUGCCACGGGCAUGGGCAUGGCGGAGGGAUUGGUAAUCCUAAAAGACUUCUUAUCAGCGAAGUCUUUCCGCCUCAGCCUUGCCCGAUCAGCAUAAUCGGAAUUAGAUUAUUUUUUGCUUUACCUUUUAAGCGAGCUUCCUCUCGAAGUCUUUCCUCUUCAAGCACUUGACAAAAUAAAGUUAACACAAAAUUCAGCACUACGUAAAAUGAAAUAUAACAUUCAUCAAAUGACCCUCUAUAAAGCGUUCCCCCCUCUACCAAACGCCCCGCCCUAAACGUGUAAGAAUAUUUUUUGAAGUUUUUAAAAUAAAAAAUUUGAAUU
rnacentral:lncRNA from 1 species